AAUGGGUCAGCGACUUAUAUUCUGUAGCAAGGUUAACCGAAUAGGGGAGCCGAAGGGAAACCGAGUCUUAACUGGGCGUUAAGUUGCAGGGUAUAGACCCGAAACCCGGUGAUCUAGCCAUGGGCAGGUUGAAGGUUGGGUAACACUAACUGGAGGACCGAACCGACUAAUGUUGAAAAAUUAGCGGAUGACUUGUGGCUGGGGGUGAAAGGCCAAUCAAACCGGGAGAUAGCUGGUUCUCCCCGAAAGCUAUUUAGGUAGCGCCUCGUGAAUUCAUCUCCGGGGGUAGAGCACUGUUUCGGCAAGGGGGUCAUCCCGACUUACCAACCCGAUGCAAACUGCGAAUACCGGAGAAUGUUAUCACGGGAGACACACGGCGGGUGCUAACGUCCGUCGUGAAGAGGGAAACAACCCAGACCGCCAGCUAAGGUCCCAAAGUCAUGGUUAAGUGGGAAACGAUGUGGGAAGGCCCAGACAGCCAGGAUGUUGGCUUAGAAGCAGCCAUCAUUUAAAGAAAGCGUAAUAGCUCACUGGUCGAGUCGGCCUGCGCGGAAGAUGUAACGGGGCUAAACCAUGCACCGAAGCUGCGGCAGCGACGCUGAUGCGUUGUUGGGUAGGGGAGCGUUCUGUAAGCCUGUGAAGGUGUGCUGUGAGGCAUGCUGGAGGUAUCAGAAGUGCGAAUGCUGACAUAAGUAACGAUAAAGCGGGUGAAAAGCCCGCUCGCCGGAAGACCAAGGGUUCCUGUCCAACGUUAAUCGGGGCAGGGUGAGUCGACCCCUAAGGCGAGGCCGAAAGGCGUAGUCGAUGGGAAACAGGUUAAUAUUCCUGUACUUGGUGUUACUGCGAAGGGGGGACGGAGAAGGCUAUGUUGGCCGGGCGACGGUUGUCCCGGUUUAAGCGUGUAGGCUGGUUUUCCAGGCAAAUCCGGAAAAUCAAGGCUGAGGCGUGAUGACGAGGCACUACGGUGCUGAAGCAACAAAUGCCCUGCUUCCAGGAAAAGCCUCUAAGCAUCAGGUAACAUCAAAUCGUACCCCAAACCGACACAGGUGGUCAGGUAGAGAAUACCAAGGCGCUUGAGAGAACUCGGGUGAAGGAACUAGGCAAAAUGGUGCCGUAACUUCGGGAGAAGGCACGCUGAUAUGUAGGUGAAGUCCCUCGCGGAUGGAGCUGAAAUCAGUCGAAGAUACCAGCUGGCUGCAACUGUUUAUUAAAAACACAGCACUGUGCAAACACGAAAGUGGACGUAUACGGUGUGACGCCUGCCCGGUGCCGGAAGGUUAAUUGAUGGGGUCAGCGCAAGCGAAGCUCUUGAUCGAAGCCCCGGUAAACGGCGGCCGUAACUAUAACGGUCCUAAGGUAGCGAAAUUCCUUGUCGGGUAAGUUCCGACCUGCACGAAUGGCGUAAUGAUGGCCAGGCUGUCUCCACCCGAGACUCAGUGAAAUUGAACUCGCUGUGAAGAUGCAGUGUACCCGCGGCAAGACGGAAAGACCCCGUGAACCUUUACUAUAGCUUGACACUGAACAUUGAGCCUUGAUGUGUAGGAUAGGUGGGAGGCUUUGAAGUGUGGACGCCAGUCUGCAUGGAGCCGACCUUGAAAUACCACCCUUUAAUGUUUGAUGUUCUAACGUGGACCCGUAAUCCGGGUUGCGGACAGUGUCUGGUGGGUAGUUUGACUGGGGCGGUCUCCUCCUAAAGAGUAACGGAGGAGCACGAAGGUUGGCUAAUCCUGGUCGGACAUCAGGAGGUUAGUGCAAUGGCAUAAGCCAGCUUGACUGCGAGCGUGACGGCGCGAGCAGGUGCGAAAGCAGGUCAUAGUGAUCCGGUGGUUCUGAAUGGAAGGGCCAUCGCUCAACGGAUAAAAGGUACUCCGGGGAUAACAGGCUGAUACCGCCCAAGAGUUCAUAUCGACGGCGGUGUUUGGCACCUCGAUGUCGGCUCAUCACAUCCUGGGGCUGAAGUAGGUCCCAAGGGUAUGGCUGUUCGCCAUUUAAAGUGGUACGCGAGCUGGGUUUAGAACGUCGUGAGACAGUUCGGUCCCUAUCUGCCGUGGGCGCUGGAGAACUGAGGGGGGCUGCUCCUAGUACGAGAGGACCGGAGUGGACGCAUCACUGGUGUUCGGGUUGUCAUGCCAAUGGCACUGCCCGGUAGCUAAAUGCGGAAGAGAUAAGUGCUGAAAGCAUCUAAGCACGAAACUUGCCCCGAGAUGAGUUCUCCCUGACUCCUUGAG
rnacentral:rRNA from 1 species